rnacentral:misc_RNA from 1 species
ACCUUCAAGGCUUCUGCUGUGGUUGAAAGGUCAGGGUCACCAGCUGUGAUGUAUGGAAUGAAUGCCACUUUGCCCUGUUUUCUCAGAUUGGAGAACGUGUCACAUAGACCAAUAGUAGGAGCUGUUGUCAGGGCAGCCAUUGGCGCGAAUCUUCUGGUGGAAAUGACAGUAGAUUUGGAAUGGGGGAAGCGAAGAUGGAGAUGGGCCUCCGGUUUCUUGAGGUUGAGGAAGCUAGUUGUUGAUAUCAGGGUAACAGCCAUCGGACAAAAAACAGGGGACUUUCUGAUAGAUGUUUGGUGCUCGC